rnacentral:rRNA from 1 species
UACAGAGGGUGCAAGCGUUACUCGGAAUUACUGGGCGUAAAGGGUGCGUAGGUGGUUCUUUAAGUCUGCUGUGAAAGCCCCGGGCUCAACCUGGGAAUGGCAGUGGAUACUGGAGAGCUAGAGUGCGGUAGAGGGUAGUGGAAUUCCCGGUGUAGCAGUGAAAUGCGUAGAGAUCGGGAGGAACACCAGUGGCGAAGGCGGCUACCUGGACCAGCACUGACACUGAGGCACGAAAGCGUGGGGAGCAAACAGG